UAUUUCACCAAUGGAUACUUUCAAGGGAAAAGAGGUCGCAUUUCAACCCAAACUUCCUGAAGGAGAAAAAAAUCUUCAGCAAAUUCUUCAAAGUCACAAUUGUCGGCUCUGCCAAUCAAGUCGCCACAAUCGGGGUGAUGUUGGUCUGAAGAGAAGAGACUAAGCUGCACGUCAACCACAGCGAGUACCACACCGCUAAGUGGAUACUUUCAAGGGAAAAGAGGUCGCAUUUCAACCCAAACUUCCUGAAGGAGAAAAAAAUCUUCAGCAAAUUCUUCAAAGUCACAAUUGUCAGCUCUGCCAAUCAAGUCGCCACAAUCGGGGUGAUGUCGGUCUGAAGAGAAGAGACUAAGCUGCACGUCAACCACAGCGAGUACCACACCGCUAAGAUGAAUGCAAGCAACAGGAUAUCUGAACAGAGGAUGC